rnacentral:lncRNA from 1 species
GAUCAACUUAUAUUAAAAUUCAACAGCUUAAUUUUUUUUUUUUUUUUUAGAGAUAGGUAGCAAGCUACCCGCUUCAUUUAUUUCAUUUAGAAAUAAACUUAGCUGAAAAUGUGAAUCAAUUAGGAUUCGAACUUGGGUCUCGGGUACCAACCACCAAGCCACUCAACCCUAGCGGGCCGCAUGCGCAAAAUGAGCAAACAAUUGCAUAAACCUGUACGGAGGACUCUCAACUAAUAAGAAAAAUAUUGUCUGUAUAUUUUAUAUCGGAGUGUGCAUCUUGCAUCUUUGGAUUUAAAAAUUAAUGCAAUCUUUUCAGGAUCUUACUAAAAAAAU